GACGUAGGGCGCGAGCGUUGUCCGGAUUUAUUGGGCGUAAAGAGCUCGUAGGCGGCUUGUCGCGUCGUCCGUGAAAACUUGGGGCUCAACCCCAAGCUUGCGGUCGAUACGGGCAGGCUCGAGUUCGGUAGGGGAGACUGGAAUUCCUGGUGUAGCGGCGGAAUGCGCAGAUAUCAGGAGGAACACCGAUGGCGAAGGCAGUUCUCUGGGCCGUAACUGACGCUGAGGAGCGAAAGCGUGGGGAGCGAACAGG
rnacentral:rRNA from 1 species